ensembl:misc_RNA Metazoa_SRP Metazoan signal recognition particle RNA
GCCGGGUAUGGUAGCUCAUGCCUGUAAUCCCAGCAUCUUAGGAGGCUGAGGCUGGCGGAUCACUAGAGGCCAGGAGUUUGAGACCAGCCUGGCCAACAUGGUGAAACCCUGUCUCUG